GUCAUGUAAAAGCUGAAUGUCCAAAGCUUAAACAACAAGGGCAGAAAGAUGAAAAGAAGAAUGAAAAUCAGAAGGCUCGGGGAAGAAUGUUUCAGAUUACUACCGAGGAAGCCAAGGUUUCACCGAAUGUCGUGUCAGGAACGAAAGAAGAAGGAGCUAGUUCCGGAACACAAACAAAGGCUCAAGAUCGAGGUAAAGCACCCGUAUGAUUGUCAUUGCGUCGCUCGGAUACGAACACACCUUGAUCACCCGUGAUGCGCUUCCGCAACUUUUGUAGUAACCUUAUUAGUUAAAGGCUUUUGUUAAAGUUAGUAGUGUUGAAGUUUUAAGUUUUAACUAGAUGUUUGUGAAUAUUUAAGUAACUUAAACUCGAUUUUUUGAAACGGUAGUUUAAAUGUUAAGGUCUUUCUUAUGUU